rnacentral:lncRNA from 1 species
AGAAUUUGAAAUAUCACCCAACCUCUGGUCAUUUUAUCAAUUUUUCCUUUGAUAUCUCCCUGCCUGAACUCAACAAUGCCUUCUAAAACCCAGAAGUGGUUAUCAGUAAACAAUAGCAAGCUUCAGAAGCAGCCCUUUAGUUCUGUCUCAAAGAGCAGGAAAGAGCUCCUAAUUAUCAGAAAGAGUGCAGAAAUUUCCUUUUUUUCUCCCUUUUCCUCCUGCUCUCUCACCCCUCAGCCCUCAAGCAAUCUCAUGGCAGCUGCUGUAGAAACUGCAGUGAGAGUUCACAGGGGCCAAAACUCUGAGAGUGGAGAGCCUUCCCCUCUGACUUGUAACUGAAGAAGCCAUCAACCAAGAAAUUUCCAACAGACCCAGAUGGAAAAAGUCCCAGUGAAAGCCUGUUCUUUAGCCAAAGGGGCCAGAAAAGAGCAAGAUAGCAGGACAAGUGUCAUUGAGGAGAAUUUGCCUAGGAGAUGCAAAGAGAGAGAAGCCUAUACUUUGAGGGUGGAAGCCCCUCCAACAGAUCUCUGCCAUCAUGUGAGAGAGAGCCUGAGUUAGCCUGCUGGAUGGUCAAAGAUGAGUGGUGCAGCUAAGUGAAAGCCUGCUGACUUGUAGACAUAUGAGUAAGGCCAUGCUUGAUCACCUGGCUGCCAGCUGGCCUGCCAACUAAUUGCAGGUACUUGAAAGAGUCCAGCAGAGAUCAGCCACCCCAGGUCAAAUAAACACCCAGCCCCCUCCCUGAGAAUGAUGAACUAAAUAAAUGUCUUAAGUACUAAGUUUUGGGUGUUUGCUACAUAGCAAAAGCUAAUUGAUACUGUUCCCAAGGAGUGGAAAACUUCUGUAACAAAAAACAAAAAAUUCUGGCAUUGGUUUUGGGAUUGGGCAAUGGGUAGAGGCUAGAAAAAUGGCAAGGAAGCUGCCAUAGCAACCUAGAAAAAUGGCAACCCAUGCUAUAAAAUAGGGCAAUUGGUCAAUAAUUUUUGAAGUGGUUUGUUAUGCAGCAAUAGCCUACUGAUACACCAUGUGAAUUAUAGCAAGGAAUAGCUAAGGCAAAACAAAACAUUGGAUGAGUAGCAUAGUUCAUUCUAAAGAACCACUAAGGCUUGCUCAGGAAUAUGUACUAAUUCAGGUGGCAUCUGUUAACUAUCACUGAGCAUAAUAUUGGAGGAUAAAUCUGCUUUGCUUAUUGCCACCCCCGUAGCUUAGAAGCUACUCCUAAAACAGCAAGGAUGUCACUGUGGCAGUGGGCAAGGAUUAAUUCCCUCAUUUAUUUAUUCAUUUAUUAAUUCAACAAA